rnacentral:tRNA from 1 species
GCCUGGGUGGCUUAGUUGGUUAAGUGUCUGACUUCAGCUCAGGUCAUGAUCUCACAGUUGGGGAGUUCAAGUCCCGCUUCAGGCU